GGGCCGAGCCGGGUAACAACGCUCCUCUCCAAGCCACCUCCGGCCGGUCUCUUAGGAGCAAUCGCGUUUGGUCUGUUCCCAAGGUUUCUGUGGCACUCAGGCAGACCUUGGGGAGUUGACUUUAUAUGAUUGGGGAUACUUGGGGUGAUUAUGUUGAGUGAUGUUCACUGAGCGGGGAGUAUCCCGGGGACAGAUUGAGAGCCCAAAGAUAUAGAUCUCUGCGGGAGCUGUCCUCAGGCGGGACGCCUCUGUGAGACCCGGCCCGCAAGUGCCUAGAACUUCUACCCCACAGGAACGCAAGGAAGCGGAAAGAAGAAAAGGGUCUCUCCUUGGCGAGCUAGCCGGCCGACUGGAGAAGUGCGGUACGCCCACUGCCUUGGCCCCAACGACUACACCUGUGAAGGAGGAUUCCUGAGGCUUCGGAUGGGUGCCCUUGCUGAGAUCCGUCGGGAGUACUGCUCCGGGUGCAGGUCCGGAAUUCCAGCCCAAACACACACACACACACACACACACACACACACACACACACACACACCAGGCGGUAGGCAGAACGGAAUAACCUGCGUGAAGUGUCCGGACUCCUGCUUAGCGGCAAGUGGGAGUCCCCACUCUGACUUUAAAAACCUUGAAGAAUUAUUGAGACCCCAACAACAGUCCAGAUAGAAAUCGACCAUCUUAGAUGGUUCAGGCCCCUAGGCCUUGGGACUCUGCAGCCUCCUAGUUACCGGGAGGACACCUACUACACGAGAAGUCAAAGGCCUGGAAGGAAGUCUUUUUAAAAAAUAAAAGUGGCCAGCUCACCAUUUCAGAUUUCUUGGGAGCUGGCCCUGCCCCUUCAUUUGAACCCUGGAGCAGCUGAUUGUUUGUUUUGAGCACUCCCAUAUUGGGUGUCUAAAUACAUUUAAUAUUCUUAACCCCUUUCUUGGGAAGGUAACAUCCCAGUUUAGAGCUAAAUGAGUAGAGGACUCAGUUCUUGUCAAAUUACUUUCAAUUACUUGUCCAAACCUCAGAUUAGUGAAUACAGAAUUUGAACUUCUCUCUGGCUAACCUCAGAAGUCAGUAUUCCAGGUCGGCUCUGACUUAGUUCCCAGCUACUCCCUGCUUUGAGUUUCCCGGGAAUCCCCAAGGGAUGCAGAGUGCUCAAAGAAACACAUGGCUAUGACCUUAAUGUUAAUACUAAAACAUUUUGAGUAUUUGACAUUUGUUUUCACUUCAUGCCCAAAUGACAUGAGAUGGAUGUAGAAACAUAAAAUCUUGCUUCUGGCCAUGCUAUUUAUUACUAGCCAGGAGCAUUUCCUAGAAGCAUCAUCCUGCACCGACCUGAUUUGGGGUGAACAAAAUCCAGUUCUCUGUGUCUUAAAGUUGUCUGAUGACUGUCUGGGAUCAAAGUUCAGGAUUUCACAUUUCUACUGGCUGGGGGCGAAUCUUUCUAACAACUUUGUUGGAAAAAUUGUACCGUUUAAAGUUGGGAGACUCUUAGUUCUGAGGGCAGAGACACACCACCAUUCAAUGCUUAUUGAAUCUACAAAUGCUUUCUUGAGAAAGGAAGACAUUGGGACUCUCUAUCUGGUUUGAUGAUAUAGAGAUUUAUCAAGGUCUGGAAAUGUCAAAAGCGAUGUAGCACCCAGGAGGUCUUCAGCGAAACACAUGCAAGCUGUCUUCUACAUGAUCUAGAACAAACCAAUCAGCUAUGUGAACUCACUGGCUUUAAUCAGAGCUGCAUUUUGGAAGUACGAGAAAGACACUGUUGCCAGAUGCCCAUCUAGGCUCCAGGCACUUGACAUAACAAAAUUAAAUAAAAGUCAAUCAUAACUACC
rnacentral:lncRNA from 1 species